UCGUCAAAAGCUUGUAGCUUUGGAGACCUAUCAGUAAUCGAAAGGUACUUGUAGGGAUCUACGAAUAAUUUUCUCUUUCCGUAAGCUCCGAAUUCAAGACUUCCUCGGGACUUCAUCGGAACUCCGCCCACCGGAGGGAGGGCUUGGGGGUUCGGCCGUUGCCAGUCGGGCUUCGCCGAAACCAGGUAACAGGCUUCGAUUAAGAUAUCGCCAUCACCGGAGCCGGCAGCAGAGGUCACGGUGCUGCCCUAAGUGCUAUCGAGAAGCUAUCCGGGGGGAAGAAAGCGCGCAACUUUUUAUCCUUUCCCAUUUUCUCACAACAUUUCUUCUCAUUUCCCUCUUCAGAUGCCAUAGAAGUAAUCAGGUGUUUUUUUUUUAUAUAGUUGUUUUCUGCUAAUUUUGUUCACUUGAGGCUUGCUUAUUUUACAUUUUGCAAUGAGAUCUAAAAUUACUAAACUUGAAGGCUUUUAAUGUCUAUAACUGUGUAGUUUAGCUUGGUUAGAUCUUGAAUUGGGCUCACUGUUUCUACUUUUGAUGAUGUUAAUGGAUUUGGAAGUGUUAUAUUGUCAUGUGAUAGAAAUUAUACUGUACAGCUGUUUUGCGACUGAAAGCAAGAACCUUUUUUCCUCCUCCCUCCUCCCUCCUCUCCUCUCUUCAGACGCCGGAAAAGGACUUCAGUGGUGCUACUUUUAGGUAUUUUUUUCUUUAUUUUGGUCCCUUAUGUUUUUUCUGUUAUAUCUUAGAUGAUAAGAUGAGCCUGUGGCAUAUUCAUCAUGAAUUUGCUUUAGUUGAUAUCUAAUGUCAAAGAUAGUGAUGAUAAAUUUAUAGGUGCUGUGGAUUUGCUAUUAAAAUGUUUAUGUUUAUUCUAUGACUGAAUUAGGAAGGUGCAUGUAAUAGUCUUACACUGUGUUCAUUGAUGGACUCAUUUACUUUGUUGUGUUAUUUAUGUAAGAAAAAUUUCUGCGGUCUCUUCAAAUGUCUAAAUUUAUGUACUAGUAUCCACUAAAAUAUCUCUGAAAGAUUAGUUCAUGGUAUUGUCUAGUUUUAUGUUUGCAUGCAUUAUUGCAUUACAUAACCAAACACAACUUGUUGACCCUACUAUUUCCUCGGUGGCUUAAGCAUCAAUCUAAAACAAGGCCUCCUACCGUCAUUUCUAAGACAAGGCAGAAAUGAUAUGGAAAAAAGAGAGUAAGAAAGAAACAUCUUCUCUAAUGGCAUGUUAGUUUGUUCAUCUUAACUAACCUAUUAAAAGGAAAUGAGAAGAAUGAAAAACAAAAUGAUUGAUUACUUGUCACUCACCCCUCCCCAAGAAAGAAGUUGUCAAGAAAUGGGGAAAGAGAACUACUUAAAAAAGGCUUUAUUCAAUAAGAACAAAUGCUAGAGGAAGAAUAGGAUGCGGAGACUUCAGGGGGAACCCUGUCUCAAGACUAAAGGACUUGUAGCUUGAAACAUGUAUUCUACAAGAGAGCUCACUGCACAAGCACUGCCAAGAUUCCCAUUAUUUUGUGGCUAAAUUUGGCAAUAUGAUGCGAAUGAGUUAGGUGACUUUUACCUACCAUUGGGUUUUUUUUUUGCCAUAGUGUUCCCUUACACAUCAAACUUAUCCAAGUCAUGACACUGAACAUGCGGAGGAUCAAAUGGGAGGUUUAGUCCUGUAUGAAAUAAAUUGUGGAAUAGAAGGGGUUGAUAAGCUGUUAGGGUCAGUAAGGUUUGAAUAUGUUAUCAAGUCCCUUCGGUUUUAAGGCUCCCUGUCCCACAACAGAACAUGAGCCCCAUAGACCAAGUUCUCUUUCUAAUGAUGAGAACAUUGAUCCUAUACAUCUAUGCUGGCUUUAGACUCUUUUUGUUUAAUCUCAUGAAAUGUUGGUGAAUCUUAUAUGGUGGCCAGAACUUGGAAAAUGCAUUUUUGUAGCAUUUAAAGAAUUUUUCUUGCUGAUCAAUUGGAUUGCAGUUUGGUGAGUGCUCAACUUGGACUACUCUCUUUAGCUGUAUCGAAGGUUUGAUUAUUAAUCAAUAAAUGAUAUUCCAAUUAUGGUAAGGAGAUGUAAGCCUAACUUUAACGAGGAAAUUUUGGAACUAAGGCUUACCUAAAUAGCAUUUCAAGGGUUUUUAGAUGCAAUUGAAGAUGAUUUAUGGCUCAGAAUGGCGUCAUUUGGACGUGCUUGCAGAGGCAAUGCAGUGGCAAACAGAAUUGUCUAUAAAAUGAGCUCUGUGACACUAGUUUUUUAAGAUACCAUCUUUCAACUUGACAACUAUAAAAAAUAGUAGGGUACAUGUGGAAAGCAAACCUUCAGGACUUCACAUGGUUAUCAGAUUGUUUUUCCCUUCUUAUAGAUUUCUUACUAUAAAAGAAAUCUAAAGAAUUUUGCUACCUGGAAACUUGAAAAAUCUAUGGAUUAUGAAAAACAGUCAGUUUUAAAGAAUAUACUAAGCUGUCAGUUUUGCUGCCUGGAAACUUGAAACAUCUAUGGAUUAUGAAAAACAGUCAGUUAUAAAGCAUACACUAAAUAAUAAUCCAUGUUGUUGUCCUGUAUUGCAUUAACCUUCUGCACUUUUUUCCUAUUUAUCCCUUUAAAAGGACAUGAGGUGUUUUAUUUAUUUAUAUUUAUCGAUGACCCAUAGACCAAGUUACCAAACUGGUGCGUCAUCACUUUGCCAUCUGUUCUGCAUGAGGUUUAGCUUCCUUGAGUUUAUGUCGUUUCCCUUUACCAGAAUUGGUGAUGACCACCUAUGUGAAUGGGAAUUGAGACCUCUCUCUGUGAUAGGCACCCUUUAUUGCCAACCAACAUGGCCACUCUGAUGACCCCAAAAUGAUCACUAAGUUUGGAGAUUAUCUGUAAUACUAGCCCAACAAUCUGCUUAUAGCAGAAGCUAGGAAACAACACUUAGCUACUUGUGUGUAACAAAAUUUCUGAAUUUGGUCAGACAGCACAGGUUAGUCCUUUCUGUUUUUUUAUUGCUCCUGAGGAUGAGAAAAGCAUGUCCAGAUGGAGAUCAUCUCAUCCCUUUCAUUUGUAGAAUUCAUCAACUCGCCAUAUAAAAUAAACUGGUAAAUGGCAAUAACUUUGCAGUAUAUUGUCUGAAAUUCUUACUGUCUCAUGACUGUUAUCUCAAGUGGGACUUUUAUUUGUUCCGACAAAUGAGAUAAAAGUUUAAUUAUCCCAUUGUUUACAUUGAAAGGCUGUUAAUAUUAUCAACCCCAAAAAAUCAAAGAAGAAGCAAAUAUACCAAGCAUAAUAGGCUUCACAGGGUACCAAAGAUAAUGCAAGCCCACAAUAAAAA